CCGCACGCGCGCUACACUGAUGAAGGCAGCGAGUUUUUUACUUGCUAACCUUGGCCGGAAGGUCUGGGUAAUCUUUUGAAACUUCAUCGUGCUGGGGAUAGAGCAUUGUAAUUAUUGCUCUUCAACGAGGAAUUCCUAGUAAGCGUGAGUCAUCAGCUCGCGUUGAUUACGU
rnacentral:rRNA from 1 species